UAGUAAUUUGCAGAGGUUGAUGAUGGGGUUGAUGUGGCCUCUACCAGGAUAAGGCACCGCCACUACAUGGAGGACGUUGGAGGAGGUUUCAUUUGUUUAGAGUGCCCAUUGGACGAUGGUUAAUAUGAAAUUGUCAAAAUUUUCGUUUUUGAUAACGCGAUAUUUUAAAUUA